GUUCGCGUAGCUUACCGGCAAAGCGCUCCUUGAAGUAUGAUGAAACUUGUCGAGGAGAGACGUGGGUUCGACUCCUACCGCAGACA